ensembl:lncRNA
GCUUUAUACAAAACAGAUUGUGUAAUAGCAGCUUUACAUUGUUAAACAGGAAAAUAGUGUAGAUAAUGCAAACAAAAUUCAGUUAUGCUGUAAAGCAGCUCUAAAAAGUAAAAAAAUAAACAGGCAAUAUUUCAGUAAAAGUCAGUUCAUCGUUGACUCAUUGAUGUCAUCAUCAUCCAGCUCAGUUCAGUUCUCUUCAUAUAUUGUCUGUGAAAUCAAGUCGUUAAUAACCCCAAAAAUGCAGUGUCCCCACCUAAGCAAGCCAAAGGCAAUACGAAAUGGAGAAAAAACCUUGGUAGUAACCAGACUCAAUCUGUGGGGAGGAGCAAUUCUCCACUGACGAAUAUGAUGUGGUUCAUCAUGGUCUUUGCUGAGGUUUUGUGCCAGUGGCCCUAUAGUUGACGAGGUCUUUCGCUGGGGAUCUGUCUUUGGGACUCUUCUAGUUGACAUGAUCUCUUCUGACAUUCAGGGUUGUCCUGGUCGUCUCUAGGUGCUGAUCCACCAUCUGGACUGGAUCCGGGCCACUGCAGUGACCAUCUGAUCUGGAUACAGACUGGAUCUGGGUGGCUAUAGUGACCUCAGAAUACGAAUGAGACAGACUGAUAUUAGCGUAGAUGCCAUUCUUCUUACGAUGUAACAAGUACAUCGGGUGUUACUGACAUUGUUAUUGUUAGUGAACACCUUCAGAAUGCUUUUAUAGGACGCUAUUUUUUUGAGGAUUUUAAAAAUACCCCCUUUGAUGUCUAUAUUUAUAAUUAUUCUCUUAUAUAUGAAUUCAGUUUAAAGCACCACACAUCUGAACCAAAAGCGUAUAGAUAUUCAUAUAGUGAUGUGGAAAUGGUCUAAAGUCAUACCUUAUUUUUGAAGCACUGCCUAGCAUAGCUCUUCGCCUGUAGAACUGUCCUAGUGCCGAUUAGUUUGGCAAUCUUUGUCCACCUGCGGCCAAACUGCGCCUACAAAACAUAACAAACAAAAUACAAUUUAAUUCAGUUUAAUUUAAUUUAAAAUCCUUGUCUUCUUCAACCCACAGAUUUUCUGCUUCAGAACACCAAUGUCCUACAGAGACAUUCUGAAAUUAAUUACUGCACUAUACACAUACACACACACACACACUCACACACACACACUAACACUCCCACUCAAAAGUUUGGGGUCGGUAAGAUUUUUAAUGGAGUGUAAAGAGUGAAGGAUACUGUUCCUCCAGCAGCAAGUUCUCAGUGGCAUGUCUGUUCUCAUCGCCGAUGGAGCUGUCCAGCGUCCAAGGCUGAACACACACCAACAACAACACAUCAUAUCCAUUUUCAGAGUAUCUUUACAUAUAGUGUUAAAACAGUUAUCAUUUUAGGGUGAGCCAUAUUACUUUACCAGUAUACUGCUGUUUGUCUUCCAAGCAGACUGUACUGAUCCUGGAGAAUCUCAGCACUGCUUAGGUCCCUGUUAAGAGAGCAGACAAAUAAUAAAGACGUUAAUUCCACAAGAAUGUGUUUACAGAAAUCAGUUUACGAAAGACAACUAUGAAGUACACGAUUACAGAAGAUUUAAAAGUGCAUAGUUUGGUUAAAACUAUUUUAUUGAUUCUUUUUUAUUUCUUUUUUUACAUUUAAGUACACUGAGGAAUAUUUAAUUAACAACAUGUACUUACUAAAGGAUUAGGGCUUUGAUUUAGACUUAGUUGCAAGGCGUUAUGCAUUAUUUACUGUUAUUAUACUAUAGUAAUUGCACAUAACAUGUAAAAAUGACACUGUAAAAUAAAGUAUUACCAAGUGUGCUCUGUUAACACACAUUCCGUUUCUAGUAUCCACGUGUGUCAUGCGAAAAUUACUGGAUUUACAUUGUCAUCACAGCAGUUAAAAAUGAAUAUAACGUUGCUUAUAUGGUUAGUAACCAUUUUAUCAUAAAGUUUAUGUUAACAUGUAUAAUGUAUACGUUUUAUGGUUUUGAAAUGUUUAUUCCAAUGCAAAGUCUUGCCCCACACAGGCUUCCAUUGUAAAUUAGACUGCCUACUAAGGAUCCUUAACAUCGAGACAUCCUUAGAUGGAGCUUGAUAAUGUGGCAGCUUGGAUAUACAGCCUUAUAAUGAAGUGCCCUUCCAUUUGAGAAGCACCCAUUGCCUGGUCACCCUUAUGGACUCUUAGACCACUCCUUGUGCCUGUAAAGGAUCCUUAAGUGAUUUUCCUUCAUCAAAGUCUUACCUGUUCCAUUUUAAGUCUCCAGUGAUCUAUACUCACCUCUGUGUCUCCAGCGAUCUCCUGUACUCUCCUUCUAGUCUCCUCUGUGUACUCACCUUCUAGUCUCCAGCGAUCUCCUGUACUCACCUUCUACGAUCUCCUGUGUACUCACCUUCUAGUCUCCAGCGAUCUCCUGUGUACUCACCUUCUAGUCUCCAGCGAUCUCCUGUACUCACCUUCUACGAUUUCCUGUGUACUCACCUUCUAGUCUCCAGCGAUCUCCUGUGUACUCACCUUCUAGUCUCCAGCGAUCUCCUGUACUCACCUUCUAGUCUCCAGCGAUCUCCUGUGUACUCACCCUCUAGUCUCCAGCGAUCUCCUGUACUCACCUUCUAGUCUCCAGCGAUCUCCUGUGUACUCACCUUCUAGUCUCCAGCGAUCUCCUGUGUACUCACCUUCUAGUCUCCAGCGAUCUCCUGUGUACUCACCUUCUAGUCUCCAGCGAUCUCCUGUACUAUUUUUAUUUUUAUUUUGAAAAAGUCAAUUAUUUGUAGUUAUUAUACAUAUAAUUAUAAAACUUAUUUUAUUAUUACACAAUUGAUAAUUAUACAUGAAGGCCUACUAUUUACUAUUACUAUUAAAUUAUACAUUUUUAUUUUAGUUUUUUCUGUUAUUCUUAUUCUUUUAUGGUUCUUAUUAUUUGUCUUCUUCCAUAUCCAGCUGUAUCAGGUGGCCGACCACUUUCUUUUCUCCCAUUGGUAGUCACUGCAUCACAGCUUAUUUGCAAAUGUAUUAUUAUUGCUGUUGUUGUUAUUUCUCAUGCACCACAG